rnacentral:misc_RNA from 1 species
GCUAAAUGCUCUACAAGUCGCUCCAGGACAUCAUCGCCAUUCUGGGUAUGGACGAACUUUCGGAACAGGACAAGCUUACCGUCGAGCGUGCCCGUAAGAUCCAGCGUUUCCUGAGCCAGCCUUUCACCGUCGCCCAGGUUUUCACUGGUAUCGAGGGCAAGCUUGUCAACCUCAAGGACACCAUCGAGUCAUUCAAGAAGAUCAUGGAGGGCG